UUCUGCAUGCUCAAUAAAAGCAGUGGAUCAAAGAGAAAUUGAUUAACUGCUAUAAGGUACGGCUGCAAUGAGCAAGCCGCACCUGAUCUUCUGUCCUUCCAAAGGAUGUUCAGUGACAACUUAGAAGGAUACAAAUUGAAUUGCUUUGAAAGCAAGGCAAUUCCAGUUUAGCAUCAUUUAAACUAUAUUAAGUGCAACUCAACUUCAUAAGGCAGCAGCUGGGAAAGCCCCACUUGCUACUCCAAGGAAGGGAAGGGUGUACAAAAGAAUUGGUUCUCAGCUUUCCCAUUUUGAAGCAGGCAAUAUUGGAAGAGGUAACAGAAGCCAAAGUUUAUGCAGUACAUAAAGAAGUGGGGAAGAAUGCAGCUGAUUAAAGAGCUGGGAAUGGACAGAUUUCACUUGCACAGAGGAGAAUAGGGACACUUGUGUGGAAGAUUAGGAUGCUUGCCCAGGUGCAAUGGCUCCAAGACUUUUCCUUUUUCCUCCAGCUUUCUCCAGCAUAAGAUCUAGGAAAACAGAUUAUGGAUACUUCAGGUCAGUGUGGGCAUCCAAAACCAGAUGUCACUUGUGUCCAAGAGUUCCUCAGUCCCGUGUACUCUGCUGUCUUGGGGCAGUAACAGCAGGGCAAGAGGACAGAUGGCUCUAAAGAGAGGUCUGAGGAAACUAAGCUUCCUGCCAUUAAAGAAACACCAGAGAACAUCCAAAAAUUAUACACACACUCCCAAAAUGUUUGAAAAAUGAUUGAGAGGGACCAAUAGACCAAAAGACCCUCCAGAUCAGGACUGGUAAGUUCAAAGGACAUGGACCAAGGAACAAGGACAACCCAUGAAACUUCUUAUUACUUAAUGCACUCAGGUGCUGGUGGGAGCAGAUGCUGACAGCCAUUGACCUACUGGGCUUGGCCUUGGGGCUCUUGACUUCAGUCUUGUCCUGAAACCUUAGUUUUUGUUCCAGGGAAGAGUAGAGGGAGGAAGGAGGAAGUUCUUACCUGAAACUAUAUUUCAGUGAGUACUGUGCUUAUUUAGGGUACUUUUCCAAUUAUGUAUGAAGUAUGUUUUAUAUUCACCCAGUGUACUCACCAUAAAAUUAAGUAAUUUGAAUUAAUUGCUUCUCUAAAAAGUAUGACCACUAAAGUGAACUCUGAUAGCUCUUGUAAGACUCUUGGACCUUGGACAUCAGGCAUUAUUUGUGUCCUGGGAUCCUUUCCUAAUGUAGUGAAACAUAGAAGAACCUAUAAUUUUUAAAACAUGGUGUAGUUCUGGUUCUGCUU